rnacentral:rRNA from 1 species
GAUGAACGCUGGCGGCGUGCCUAAUACAUGCAAGUCGAGCGAACGGACGAGAAGCUUGCUUCUCUGAUGUUAGCGGCGGACGGGUGAGUAACACGUGGAUAACCUACCUAUAAGACUGGGAUAACUUCGGGAAGCCGGAGCUAAUACCGGAUAAUAUUUUGAACCGCAUGGUUCAAAAGUGAAAGACGGUCUUGCUGUCACUUAUAGAUGGAUCCGCGCUGCAUUAGCUAGUUGGUAAGGUAACGGCUUACCAAGGCAACGAUGCAUAGCCGACCUGAGAGGGUGAUCGGCCACACUGGAACUGAGACACGGUCCAGACUCCUACGGGAGGCAGCAGUAGGGAAUCUUCCGCAAUGGGCGAAAGCCUGACGGAGCAACGCCACGUGAGUGAUGAAGGUCUUCGGAUCGUAAAACUCUGUUAUUAGGGAAGAACAUAUGUGUAAGUAACUGUGCACAUCUUGACGGUACCUAAUCAGAAAGCCACGGCUAACUACGUG